GAGUGAACGCUGGCGGUAGGCCUACCCCAUGCAAGUCGAACGGCAGCCCAGUAAGAGCUUGCUCUUACGGGUGGCGAGUGGCGGACGGGUGAGGAAUACAUCGGAAUCUACUUUUUCGUGGGGGAUAACGUAGGGAAACUUACGCUAAUACCGCAUACGACCUACGGGUGAAAGCAGGGGAUCUUCGGACCUUGCGCGAUUGAAUGAGCCGAUGUCGGAUUAGCUAGUUGGCGGGGUAAAGGCCCACCAAGGCGACGAUCCGUAGCUGGUCUGAGAGGAUGAUCAGCCACACUGGAACUGAGACACGGUCCAGACUCCUACGGGAGGCAGCAGUGGGGAAUAUUGGACAAUGGGCGCAAGCCUGAUCCAGCCAUACCGCGUGGGUGAAGAAGGCCUUCGGGUUGUAAAGCCCUUUUGUUGGGAAAGAAAAGCAGCAGGUUAAUACCCCGCUGUUCUGACGGUACCCAAAGAAUAAGCACCGGCUAACUUCGUG
rnacentral:rRNA from 1 species